rnacentral:misc_RNA from 1 species
AAGUUACUAGUCACAUCAGGGUCACAAGGGUCACGCUAUUUCGCGAGUUGAGUUACGCGCGCCCAGAGCCAGAGCAGAAGACUUCCGAAAACAAGUGAGGGUUUGUUAUGUUCCCGGCGGCCAUUUUCCUUCUUUCCGUUCAUUUCUUCGAUACCAACCACAACACCUAACAAAUUCAAGUUGAUUAGUUUUUUGUUUCUCUGCAUGUUGCGCUCAAUUACUGUGACAAAGGCGUAUAUAACAAAUAAUCUGGUUAUUUUAAAUACCCCGGAGAAAAUUUCCUUGCAUUCUCUAAUUUCAUAACGAAUACCUGUAUAUUUUUCUUAUGUUGGACAAACAAUCAGUAAUGUUUACGUGCCAUCAUAAAAAGCACUUUCGAGAGAUUGUUUUUGCGUCUUCGCACGAAUUGUUUGAAUUUUAAGACUAUUUUCUGCCGAGAGCAAGAUUUUUCUCAAAAUCAGGCUUUUUAUGUGGACACAAAUGCAUUAUCAGUGAAGAAUAGUCCUUCUAGAUUUGGACAUUAUUCAGUUCUAACCUUCCUUGUGGAAAGGUUAGGGUUAAGUUCUUUUCUGCUUGUGUGUAAACUGAAGAGAAAUCUCAUCGCAGGCAGUUUUAUCACUGGUGCUUUGUAUUGAAGAAAGCUUUGGAGAUUUUUACUGCUAAAUAUGAUACUUGAGUGAAGUUUUAGUGGUGUUCUGAACAAAUCCGUGUGGUGCAAUGGCUUCAGUCAGCCCGGAAUCAAACUGGGUGGAAUUUUGUGAUAAACAUGCCAAGUCCGCCGCUGCUGACUUUGCCAAUGCAUUCAGCUCCUACAACAGCAGCCACAUGUCUGACACUGCGCGCCACCAUGUAUCCCACAAGGAGUUCCUCCGCAAAUUUAUUGACUGCUUCCAAGAGCAUUUUGAGGCGGAGUGUGGUUCUCAGAAUGCGGCUGCUGGCAAGAGUCUAGCCAAUGGAACCCUAGGACAUGAUGAUAUGUCGGACUAUUCUGAACAUGACGCAGAGUCACCGUCCCCAAAACCUCAACCAAAGCCUUUCUUCCGCCGGUUGUCAUUUAAAGGUCUUAAGAAGGGCAAGGCCUUCUUCCAGAAACAGAAUUCAGAUGAGGUUGAACUUUCACACUCCCAUAGUGAUAAAAAAGACAAACAUUCCAAGACCAAACUUGCCAAAAUUGUUGUUGAGUGCCGGAAAGAAGGCAUCGUCAAUUAUCUUAGUGGUGAAAAUCUUGAUGGAACUGGGAAAUGGGACAGAUGCCGUCUUGCCCUCGUCAAAACAGUCAGUGGUUACAUGCUUGAGUUCUACUCACCUCCAAAGGCCCCCAAACCAAGAAGUGGGGUAUUUUGUUUUCUUAUACUAGAGGCAAGAGAGACAACAGCUCUUGAAAUGCCUGAUAAGGAAAACACUUUUGUCUUGAAGGCUGAGAAUCAGCAAGAGUAUGUGAUUGAGGCCCAUGAUACUGAUGAUAUGAAGUCAUGGCUAGCCACCAUCAAAUACUGCAUGAGAUCAACCACACAACCUGUACCGGAGCAUCCGGAAGCCAACUCUCGCCAAGGAGGCCCAAGUAACAGAGCAACUGCACCAUCACUUGAUGGUGACAAUCUAGAGCAUCCUCCAGAACUACCCCCUAGAGUUGUUGCAGCUAGUGGAGGUCGAUCUACUGCAGAAACCACUGCAGGAUUGAGAUUAUCUAGUAAUAGUAAUUUUGACAUCUGUUCCUCACGCACUGAUAUUGAGACAACAGGUGAAACGGAGGCCGAUUUAUCUUGGAUACUUAGGGAUUACCCUUGGUUCCAUGGAACUUUGCCUCGCUCUGAAGCAGCACAUUUAGUCUUACAUGAAGGCUCCACUGGUCAUGGGGUUUUCCUAGUUCGCCAAAGUGAAACUCGUAAGGGAGAAUUUGUCCUAACUUUCAAUUUUCAAGGAAGAGCAAAGCAUUUGAGAAUGACACUUAAUGAUCAAGGUCAGUGCAGAGUUCAGCACCUUUGGUUCCCUGCAAUAUUUGAGAUGCUAGAACACUUCCGGGAGCAUCCUAUACCUUUGGAAUCCGGUGGAACAGCCGAUGUUACAUUAACGGACUAUAUUGUGUCUGCAACUGGGCACACAGCACCAAACGUUUCUUCAAGUGCAAGAGGACAAACAUCAUCUACUCCUGCAUCUACACCAACAUUAGUGCCCUCUUCUCUUAACACCACUCCAGUGGAUUCAAGGCCACGCACUGUGGCAAUGUCAGAGGGAAGGGAGGUGAGUCAUGGAGCGUAUUGCUAAGCUUGUUUAUUGCUAUUCAAUACAGCCUUUAUAAGACUUAAAUGAGUAGUUAAUAAUUAGAGAGCCUAAAACAAUUAGCUAUAAAUAGGUUUCAAUUAAUCUUCUCUGGUUUGGAAAAAAAGUAUUUGAGCUGAAUUAUAAUUUUUUGUGUGCUGCAAAUAUGUAAGAAAAGAUGAAUUAUUGGCCAUCAAUUGUCUUUCCACCACAUCCCUUCAAAAUUUUUGCUUUUGUCUAAAUUUUACAAUUGAUAAAUGGUCAUUAAACAAUCUGCUUUUCAUCUUUGUAGCUUUUCAUGACCUUACCUGUUCAAAAAAUGGUUCGUUGAAUGCUUGGCAAUAUAGUGUAGUUUAUGUUUAUUGCUCUAUGAUUUAUAAGUGAUGCUCUAGUUCUGCUGCUCCUCUCGAAUUUCGCCUGCAUGUUAAGCAGAAAUGUACAAUAUCUCUUGGGGUCUCUAAUUUCUCUAGUAAAAAUGAUUUGUGUAAGUUUGAGGAGGCACAUCUUGCUUUGUUGGGCAAGAUUUGAACUGAUAUUUGCUAAUGUGUCUAAUCAAAUAUUUUUAAAAGGGGUGUUUCCUUAAUGGUAGUUUUUACCAUUGUUAGAGAUCUCAUUUGUUGUGUUUCUUCAUGUUCAUUUGGUCUUCAAUUGAGGAAGACAAACUGUGGUCUUAAAGUGAUUGUGCAUGUGUGCUGUCACUUUGCUUGGAUAAGACUCUUUGUUUUUGUGUAAAGUGCAUGUCUGACUGAAAUAUUUUGUUCAUACUUGUUGCCUGCUGAGAACUUAAGCAUAUUUAUUAUUCAUGGAUGCUUCUAACAAUUAAUUAUUAACAAUAAAAUGGUCGUAGCUGCAGGUGUUUCAAUGCUUUUUGUGGCUUUUUGUUUUUAAGUCUGGAUUUAAAUUUUGUAGCUGGCAAGGGUAUGCUGCUUUUUAACUACAUUUUUAAUGAAAAAUUCUUUUUGAAUAUUGGGUAAAAGUGUUUUAAGUGAUAAUGCUGGUAAGUGUUAUUGCACAUUUUUAGGCUGUGAUGUGUUCCUUGUUAUUGCUGCAAGUAAAAAGAAAAAUAUAACUAAGUAAGCUGUUAACUGAUGUUUGUGUUAUAACAGUAUUUCUUAAAAGGCAUCUCUAUUGUUCCAUCCAAUUCUUACCAUUACUCAUGACACAUAGUAAUUUAUAUUGUUUUGCACUGAAAAGAACAUUCUUUUCUGUCCUGAGGUUUGCAAAACACUAAGUACGUGUACAUUCAAUGACAAAACUUCAAUGUGUCAGCUGCCAAUGAAAAGUCUGAUGUCGGUUUGAUUACAGAAGCAAGUAGACUGCGUUGCCCAUUUACCCAUUAUUUAAAUCGUUGUAUUGAUAAGCUUUGCACCCUUUUUUUUUUUUGCAUUUGUUUCUCUAUUAAUUGUAUGUAUUGAUGUAUCGCAUUUUUGUAGGUGUGACGCAUUGGCAGUUGGGUUGCUAACAGCACAUUGACUCAACUUUUUGCUUUGUGGUGGUGCUAGGGGGCUCCAUUCGCACACGUACUGAAUCAUUAGAGCAAAUUCCUAGUCGUCAAAACCAGGGCACAGGGCGAGCUGUGGAAAACACCUACAGUUUUGUGUAAGGUUGUUACUUGUGA